AUGCCGUGCUGCGGGGAAAGCGAUCCUCCCCAUGAGGCCAUCAGGGUCCUAUCCCAACCCCAGCGCCACGGCUCGCACGGUUCGUCAAUUGGUUCGAUUUGGGGGUUCCGGCCGGGGUCUGAAUGCCUGACCGGGGCCGGGGAUUUGAGCGCAGGGAGGAAGCCCUGGAGGUGUGUCAGGUUAAUCGUCAUGCUGCUGCAUGCGCUCUUCAUCGGCGCCGUCUUCCUGCUCGAUCCGGCCCUCCGGAGCCAAAUCCGCCAGGACCAGUGGUACAUGUGUUUAUAUGGAGGGCUGGUGUUGUUUACCUUGGCGCAAUACCUAUAUACAGCUAAUUCAUCACCAGGGUAUGUGGCUGAUAUGUUGAAGGCUGGAUCAGCGAUGCACGCAACCUUCAUUAAUACAACGACAAUCUCAAAACAGGUCUGUUCAAAAAACGGGAGCUUAAAUUAUUUCAUGAGCCGCAGCAAAAUAGAGCAACACAACCCACAAUCUGCUACACCUUCGUCGCUUUUGCAAAUGAUGGAUCUAUAUCCUCCUGGAUCAUCCAGCAGGGAUUUGACCUGCUCUUACUGCCAUCUCAUUCAGCCACCACGAACCAAGCAUUGUCAUGAUUGUGACAAGUGUAUUCUCCAAUUUGAUCAUCACUGUACAUGGCUUGGAACAUGCAUUGGCAUUAGGAAUCAUUGCCGUUUUUGGUGGUACAUAUUUGGACAAGCAAGUUUAGUUAUUUGGACUGUUGCUCUCUACAUCCAGUUCUUACAUGUGGAUAUGAACGGGUCCUGGUUGAAGGGUUUGACUGGCUUAACACUGUUGCUGCCGUUGAUAGUAAUCCUCAUAGUUUUGCUGAUCUUACUCAUGUUGCAUACUUACCUUGCUCUUACGAACCAAACGACAUAUGAAAUUGCCAGAUGGAAGCGAAUAUCUUACCUAAGGGGAGUUCCUAGAAAGGUGCAUCCUUUCAGCAAAGGUAUCUGCAGGAACCUCUAUGACCUCUGCCUCUCUAGACAGAAGGGAUAUGUUCUGGAAGCAGUACCCCCACUGGACGAACUAGAAGCCCGGGCUAGACCCUACACCUGCCGAGAUGUAAUCUGCUGCCGGUGCUGCUAG
rnacentral:rRNA from 1 species